CUUGAUGUCUGUUUCAUUCCCCAGUGUAGGGAAAUUUUCAGUGAUUAUUUCUUUAAGUUUUCUAUGUGAAUGGCAUUAUCCUUGAUGUUGUCCUAGAGGUUUCUUCUUUUAGAUCACUGAUCUGUCCUGCAUCUUGUUAUCUGCUAUUGAUUCUCUGUACGAUAUUUUUCAUUUCAGUUGUUGUACUUUACAGCUCUGAUUGGUUCUAUUUUCUGCUUCCUUGCUGAAGUUUUCAAGCUGCUCAUCCACUCUUCUCUCAAGUAUGGUGGUCAUCUUCAUGACUAUUGCUUUGAACUCUUGAUCAGGGCAAGACUUGCUUUGGAGCGGUGCUGGUUCUGGACCGGGUUGACCACAAGGCAUGGCAGGGUAAUAGUCGCUAUACAGGAACACCUGCAAUGACGUUGUGAUUGUCCACAAAGAAGACCAAACAUAGCAAAUUAUGUGCAUUAAGAGAGUCAGUAAGGAACUGGAUACAAAAUAAACUUGCAAAAAUCAAUAGCACUUACCUAUACCAAUAAUAAUCACCAAAACAAUAUAAUAGAAGGUAAGUUCUGAACUUGAUGGAGGCAUUUUGAAAAGACCUGAGUGAAAAACUCUAACACUUUGAAAAAUAGGGUGGCUUAAUAUUAUAAAUUUGUUAAUUUUCCCUUAAAUAACUUUAAAAUUCUAUGUAUUUCUCUUGAUGUAUUUAGUUCUCAAACUGUUGAUGCCUUUCUACUUAAAGUUUUUUUUUUAAUGUUUAUUUUUGAGAGAGAUCACGAGUUGGGGAGACACAGAAUCUGAAGCACCCUCCACGCUCUCAGCUGUCAUCACAGAGCUGGAUGCGGGGCUCAAACCUAUGAACUGUGAGUGAGAUCAUGACCUGAGCCGAAGUCGGACACUUAAUUGACUGAGACACCCAGGUGCCCCUUUCUACUUUCAGUUUUUGAUUUCUGGUCUAAUUUCACUAUAUCAGAAAGCAUACGCUGAACAAUUUUAACCUUUAGAAAUUGAGACUUGCAUUAUCUGAAGGCUAUGGUCUAAUUUCAGAAAUGAUCUAGGUGCACCUACAAGAAUGUGCAGUUCACAAUUGUAUUUCACAUAGGUUUCACUUGUAAAAAAUUACUUAGGUUAAUGUCUAUUAAUAUGGCUGUAGAUUUGUCUCUAUUUUUUAUCAAUUUUUGCUUUAUAUAUUUUGAGGACAUAGUAUUAGUACAUGCAUCAUUAUAACUUCUUGGUGGAUUAUCUGAGUAUAUUAUCUUCCUGAUUAUAUUUUCCUGGUAUAUUAUCAUUAAGAAGGUCGGUUUGGGGGUGCCUAGGUGGUUCAGUUGAUUAAGCAGGUAACUCUUGAUUUCAGCUCUGGUCAUGAUCUCAUGGUUCCUGGGCUUGAGCCCCAUGUCGGGCUCUCCACUGACAGCAUGGAGCCCGCUUGGGAUUCUCUCUGUCCCUGCUCCUAUCCUGCACGCGUGCACAUGUGCUCUCUCCCUCUCUCUCGAAAUAAACUAAAAAAACGCUUGUGUAAUUACAAUAACGAAAGGCAAAAGAGGCUUUGAGAAAAGCAUUUUUUUAACGUUAUUGUUUAAAUUCCAGUCCGUUGGCAUACAGUAUCAUAUUGGUUUCAAGUGUUCAGUAUAGUGCUCAUCCCAACAAGUGCACUCCUUGAUCCCCAUCUCCCACCACCCCCUCCCAUCUGGUAACUAUCUGUUCUCCAUAGUUACGAGUCUGUUUCUUGGUUUGCCUCUCUUUUUGGUUAGUGUUUGGUUUAUUUUGGGGGUGGAGGAGAAAUGGUAAAUACUCCCCUUUUUUACUUUCAAACAUUAAGUUCUUUAUAAUAUGGCACUUGUAAUCAACAUAGAAGUUUUAUUGUUUUAAUAUGGUGAGACAAAUCUUGGUUUUUAGUAUAUUUAAUCUUUUUUUUUCCCUACAGGACCCGCCUAUUUUACUGCCUCCUUUUGGAUUUAUCAAGUAUUUUUUUAAAUUAAAAAAGGUUUAUUUUUGAGAGAGAGGGAGAGCAUACGAGUGGGGGAGUCGAAGAGGAAGAGGGAUAAGAGGAUCCAAAGUGGGCUCUGUGCUGACAGCCCUGUGCGGGGGCUCCAACUCAUGAACCGUGAGAUCAUGACCUCAGCUGGUGUUGGAUAGUUAACCAACUGAGCCACCCAGGCACCUGAUUAAUCAAAUAGUUUAAAUUAUUCCAUUUAUUCCUCUAUUUAACUAAGGGUUUUACAUUAUCUUAGUAUCUUUUAUUGGCUAUCUUAAAAAUUACACCUUGCAUCCUUGAUUAUGAUAGAAACUUAGAAUUCUUUAACACUACUUACCCUUUUGGAUUUUGUUAUUUUUGUCUAGUAUUUUAAUUUUAUGUAUAUUUUAAAAUCAACAGCAUAUUAUUUUGUUUUUUGAAGCAAUCAUUCACUUAUAUUUACCAACUUUUUUUCCAUUUUGAGUUAAAUUUUGUUUAUGGUGUGAGGGAAUGUUUGUGGAUCAUUUUUUGCAGAUGGAUAUACAUAUGUGUUCUAGCCACUUAUUAAAAAGAUUAUUCACCACUGAAUUUCUUUGGCACUUAAAUUGAAAAUCACUUGGUCCUGUAUAUUAAUGUUUAUUUCUGAACUAUUCUGCUCGAUUUAUUUUUAUGUCUGCUUUUGUGUCAAUACCACACUGUGUUAAUUACUGUGGCUUUAUAAGAAGGCUUUAAAAAAAACCCACGUUUAUUUAUUUUGAGAGGGAGAGAGAAUCCCAAGCAGCCUCUGCACUAUAAGCACAGAGCCUGAUGCAGGGAUCUAUCUUAUGGGAUCGUGACCUGAGCCACCUAGGCGCCACUAUAUAAGUCUUGAAACCAGAAAGAAUAAAUCUGCCAACUGUGUCCAUGUUUAAAAAAAAAAAUUCUAUGUAUUUCGAAUUAAGUUCCCAAGAGGAUUUUCUUGGGUUGGGAGAGAAAACCUGAGUGUAAAAUUUUGCAGAAUGUAAUAGUCUGUGAAUACCUGGGAAACAUUUAAAAAAUACGACUACCCCUACCAUAAAUUAUAGUAAUAAAACAGUAUUGUAGUAUCAAAUAAACCAAUCAAAUUGAAUAGGUCCUCUGGAAACAGACCUGCUUAUAGAUGGCAGUUUGCUAUAUGUCAUUGGUAACAUCACAAAUCAGAAAAUUAUAUUUAGUGAACCAUAAUGGAAAAGUUGUCUCACUUGUGACAAAUUGGAAAAAACAAAGAUUCCUAUCUCAUGCUGCAUACAGAGAAGCUCAAAUGAAAUAAAAACCUA